UCCUGCUCAGCCAUUGGUCAGUGUUACAGUGGGACCCUCCCCUAAGUUAGCGACCUUCGGGAGCAGCUGUCAAGAAGCAACCCUUAGGAGUCAUGCUUCAGCCACUGGUUGGCAUCGCACUGGGCCACUCCCCCUCCCCCUCCUCUAUAUAAAAGGAACUGAAUUUUGGAUUGAGACAAGAUGGGUUUUUGAGACACUAGCCUGCUGUCUUAUGGGUCUGGUAGCUUUCCCCUUUCUGCUAGCUUUCCCCUUGCCCCAACAACUCCUCUCCUGAUUUACUGGCCUGUUAUGCAAUGAGCAGAAUGAUUUUGGGCUGGGUAACACAUUUCCUGCUCCCAAAGAGAUCCUUCCCGUGUUUUAGUAGGCAGCAGAUAAGAUGGGAAUACAAGGGGAGGAGAGUUCCUCUGAUAUGAGCGCUCCAGAGGAAUUCCUAGCAAGCAGGGCUCCUACAUUGGGUCUUGGGAGGAUAAAUGGGUGUUCAUGAAGGAGACAGAGAUGCUGGGGACACAGGCUGAUCACAGAUGUGCAGAUCCUAUAGGAGCUUUGGCCCUGGUGUCAUAUGAAUAUGGAAAGUUCCAUUGGACAGAGAAUGACUGGGCAGUGUGGCCUGCUGAGGAGAGAGAGCUGACCCAACAGACACUUGAUCUGACUGGAGCAAGUCCUGUAGAGCCUGCACUGGAGAGACCUUGGCAAUCACCCAGCUACUACCCUGGCUGCACCUAGAUGCACCUGGGAGCUUAAAAGAAAAUAAUCGUGUCUGGGUUCCAUCCUUGAAGGUUUAAUUCAAGUUGUCUGGGAAAUUUUUCAGGUAGAACUCUUUCUGAAGUUCUUUGGGAAAGAACAGCUAAAUGUCAACGAUGACCACAGACCUCCCUGGGGCCUCAAAGUCAGUGCAAGAGAUGAAAAGACACCUGCAGGCUGAACAGGUAACGUUAUACAAAGGCAUGCCAUUCUGUCUCAUCAUUAUGCUUUCUAUCAUUACAACCACUAUUAUUCAGAAGUUUGAGAGUUUUUUUGAAAAAGAUAUUCUAUGCUUUCAGAGGCUAGGAACUCUUGGCAUACAUCUUUGAUCUCUGAUGACCCUUUAUUUGUGUUUUUAGUGUAUUGUUAAAAUUGUCUUUUGAGGAAUGUCGUGGUUUUCUUCUGUACAUUUUUUUGGUGGGUGAGACGUCUAUUCAGAUACAAUUCCUGAUAGGUUUCUCAGUUUUCAAAAGACCCAUGAACUUGAAUCAGCACUGUAGAGUUUCUGCAUUUCCAUUUCUUGCCUCGAAGUCUAACCUUGCGUGUUUUUCCACUGCUGUGGUUCAUCAGACUUCCUCCUACUUGAAUCACUCAAGCUAAGGGGCUGGUGGAUGGUCCAAACCCUGCAGUUACUCUACUUCAUGGUUCUAGACCCAGUGAUUAUUUCAGCAGGUGGAUACAUGACCCAAGCUGGCUCAAUUUAGAGCUUAUCUAUGGAUUUUCUAAAUUUGAAGUGGAGUGCAUGUUGUCUCUUUCUUGUUGCCUCACAGGCUCUGAAGUGCCUAGAACUGUGCCUGAAACAGGUUAAGCGUCUCUUCUCAUUAUUGUUAACAGGGUGUGCCUUUUGGGCUGCUAGUAGCCACGGCCCCCUCCACAUGAAGGAACCUGGAAGAAUGAGGGCAAACAGAACAAAAGCUGAGACGAAAGGUGGAGUGAGAAAUCUGGUACAAUUCACACAAAUCCAUCCUUUUUUAUGGUUUGGUUCCAUGAGCUAAUACAUUUCUUUUUCUUGUUUGAGCUGGGAUUCUGCCAUUUGUAAUAAAAAGUUCUGAUGAUGA